GACGAACGCUGGCGGCGUGCCUAAUACAUGCAAGUCGAGCGGACGGAUGGGAGCUUGCUCCCAGACCGUCAGCGGCGGACGGGUGAGUAACACGUGGGCAACCUGCCUGUAAGCCUGGGAUAACUCCGGGAAACCGGGGCUAAUACCGGAUAACUCUUUCCCUCACAUGAGGGAAAGCUGAAAGAUGGCAUCUCGCUAUCACUUACAGAUGGGCCCGCGGCGCAUUAGCUAGUUGGUGAGGUAACGGCUCACCAAGGCGACGAUGCGUAGCCGACCUGAGAGGGUGAUCGGCCACACUGGGACUGAGACACGGCCCAGACUCCUACGGGAGGCAGCAGUAGGGAAUCUUCCGCAAUGGACGAAAGUCUGACGGAGCAACGCCGCGUGAGUGAUGAAGGUUUUCGGAUCGUAAAACUCUGUUGUCAGGGAAGAACAAGUACCGGAGUAACUGCCGGUACCUUGACGGUACCUGACCAGAAAGCCACGGCUAACUACGUG
rnacentral:rRNA from 1 species